rnacentral:rRNA from 1 species
CUACGUAGGUGGCAAGCGUUGUCCGGAUUUACUGGGUGUAAAGGGUGUGUAGGCGGAGAUGCAAGUCAGGAGUGAAAUCUAGGGGCUCAACCCCUAAACUGCUUUUGAAACUGUAUCCCUUGAGUAUCGGAGAGGCAGGCGGAAUUCCUAGUGUAGCGGUGAAAUGCGUAGAGAUUAGGAGGAAAACCAGUGGCGAAGGCGGCCUGCUGGACGACAACUGACGCUGAGGCGCGAAAGCGUGGGGAGCAAACAGGAUUAGAUGCCCUGAUAGUCCACGCUGUAAACGAUGAAUACUAGGUGUGGGGGGACUGACCCCCUCCGUGCCGCAGUUAACACAAUAAGUAUUCCACCUGGGGAGUACGAUCGCAAGAUUGAAACUCAAAUGAAUUGACGGGG